UACGGGGGGGGCAAGCGUUGUUCGGAAUUACUGGGCGUAAAGGGCUCGUAGGCGGCCAACUAAGUCGGAUGUGAAAUCCCCAGGCUUAACCUGGGAACUGCAUCCGAUACUGGAUGGCUUGAAUCCGGGAGAGGGAUGCAGAAUUCCAGGUGUAGCGGUGAAAUGCGUAGAUAUCUGGAGGAAUACCGGUGGCGAAGGCGGCAUCCUGGACCGGCAUUGACGCUGAUGACCGAAAGCCAGGGGAGCAAACGGG
rnacentral:rRNA from 1 species